UUCACCGGAAGAGCGAGAUCUCCUCCUCAGAGACAUCGAGAAUUUGGAUCUUCCAAGAAUAGAUCGGAUCACCAGAUGCUCCCUUCACUCUCAAGGGUUGCCAGUGGCUGCAAUAGAACCGGUGCCGGAGAAUUGUGUGUCAACGGUUGAUGAAAGGACAAAGGAAGACAGAGAAAAAUGGUGGAGAAUGGGAUUGAA